rnacentral:rRNA from 1 species
UACGUAGGGCGCGAGCGUUGUCCGGAAUUAUUGGGCGUAAAGAGCUCGUAGGCGGCCUGUCGCGUCCGCUGUGAAAUCCCGGGGCUCAACCCCGGGCCUGCAGUGGAUACGGGCUGGCUGGAGGCAGGCAGGGGAGAACGGAAUUCCUGGUGUAGCGGUGAAAUGCGCAGAUAUCGGGAGGAACACCGGUGGCGAAGGCGGCAUCCUGGACCGACACUGACGCUGAGGAGCGAAAGCCAGGGGAGCAAACGGG